rnacentral:rRNA from 1 species
UACGUAGGGACCAAGCGUUGUUCGGAUUUACUGGGCGUAAAGGGCGCGUAGGCGGCGUGGCAAGUCAUCUGGGAAAUCUCCGGGCUUAACUCGGAACGGUCAGAUGAUACUGCUGUGCUAGAGUACAGAAGGGGCAAUCGGAAUUCUUGGUGUAGCGGUGAAAUGCGUAGAUAUCAAGAGGAACACCUGAGGUGAAGACGGGUUGCUGGGCUGAUACUGACGCUGAAGCGCGAAAGCUAGGGUAGCAAACGGG